rnacentral:rRNA from 1 species
AACGAACGCUGGCGGCAGGCCUAACACAUGCAAGUCGAGCGGACCCUUCGGGGUUAGCGGCGGACGGGUGAGUAACGCGUGGGAAUAUGCCCUUCUCUACGGAAUAGUCCUGGGAAACUGGGGGUAAUACCGUAUACGCCCUUUGGGGGAAAGAUUUAUCGGGGAAGGAUUAGCCCGCGUUGGAUUAGGUAGUUGGUGGGGUAAUGGCCUACCAAGCCGACGAUCCAAAGCUGGUUUGAGAGGAUGAUCAGCCACACUGGGACUGAGACACGGCCCAGACUCCUACGGGAGGCAGCAGUGGGGAAUCUUAGACAAUGGGGGCAACCCUGAUCUAGCCAUGCCGCGUGAGUGAUGAAGGCCUUAGGGUUGUAAAGCUCUUUCAGCUGGGAAGAUAAUGACGGUACCAGCAGAAGAAGCCCCGGCUAACUCCGUG